rfam:Idiomarina loihiensis L2TR, complete genome.
GACUCCACGGUGUCGGAUAGAAAGACAGUUAGUUAAAAGACUCCACUUCGUUGACCUAUUAUUAUUAAUACCAUCGUCCUGUAGUUCUAAGUUCUUAUUUUUACCCGCAUCAUCGGCCUAAAUGGCCACAUACUUAAAAGUUACAGGAAGAUAUAUUAUGUCAGAGAAAAUUACUGGUUCAGUAAAAUGGUUUAACGAAGCAAAAGGCUUCGGUUUCAUCGAACGUGAAAACGGCGCAGACGUUUUCGCACAUUUCAGCGCUAUUUCUAGCGACGGUUUCAAAACCUUAACUGAAGGCCAGCGCGUUGAGUUCGCAGUAACUCAAGGCCCUAAAGGUCCUCAGGCUGAGAACAUCGUAGCGCUGUAAUUACGCGCCUCGAAGUCUAAAAGGGCAACCCUCGGGUUGCCUUUUUUUG